CCUACCUGCCAGGAUGGUACAGUCUGCAGAGGGACUCCGCAUUCUCCAUCCGCUCCAGAUGCUGGAGACUCAUCAUUCUGCUGCUCUGUAAUUGGACUCAUUGUGGAUUUGUCAUGAUAUCCCUGGCAUGCAUCGCCCUCUGCACUGGUUACCGGGGAUAGACGGGAUGGGUGAGCUGUGAUUGAGAGAAGAGGUGAGAUCCAAAACACGAAGGAGAUCCAGAUCCAAAACUAAAACCACAACCCGUGACGGGGGCGGCGCACGUCUCUAAUUCUUAGACUGUUUUGUUCUUCAUUGGUGGAACUGAAGCUGCGUCACAUCGGUUCCACCUCCAAGAAACCGUCAACUUCAAUG